rnacentral:tmRNA from 1 species
GGGCCAGUAAAGGUUUCGACAGGGAUCUUGAAGCCGGAGAAGCUAUCCGCAGGACGGUGCGUUAAACCUCAAAUUAAAAUUAAACGCUGAAGAUAAUUUAGCACUCGCUGCCUGAUGGCAGCCGUCAGCUGCUUUACACCUGCAUGAAGCAUCCCUGACGUCAAAUCUGCAGGAAACGACAUGACCUAAGCUUUGCAGUUAUGGGCGUAUCAUGAAGCUACCGGAAGGCUGUGUGCGUGGAUUCAUGCACCUGAAGGGAACGCGGUGAAGAACCGGUAAUAAUCCACUAUGAUAGUAGAAGGACGGGGGAUUGGUUUUUGGACACGGGUUCGACUCCCGUCUGGUCCAUUC